rnacentral:piRNA from 1 species
UGGGUAGAUAUGUGUAAAGGCCUCGAGAGU